rnacentral:lncRNA from 1 species
UGAGAAGUGAACUACCUUAAAAUACAGUAGGGUAAACAAAUGACUGGCUUACUCACUGGCUCAAGGAUCUGUAAGUUGGGCGGGGCGUGGCCAGGCAGCACUGGGACUCCGUGAUUGGCUAGAGGCUCUGCGUGGCUGAUUAUGACUGUUGUGGAGAGCUGGCUGGUGAUGGCUUUUGGUUAAAAGUUCAGCAGAGCAGAGGGCCAAGCCUUCCUCUCUCCUGCCGUGUGACUUCUCCAAUGUGACAGGACGAGCUUCUUAUAGCACGGGCAGUGUAAGCUACAUUCUUUGUGGGGUAAUUAGAACCUUUAGAGAAUUAAAAAGAAAACGAA